GGGGAAAGCUCAGUGGUAGAGCGCAUGCUUAGCAUGCACAAGGUCCUGGGUUCAAUCCCCAGUAUCUCCA
rnacentral:tRNA from 1 species